rnacentral:misc_RNA from 1 species
GCUCACCCCCUCGCCACCCUAACCCAUCCGCCUCGGCAGAUGGGUGACGGGAAGGCGGAUCUGGCCGUCUCUGUGCUCCUUGAGAGCGCAGGGUCGGCUGAAGAAUAGAGGCUUGAGCAUGGUCCCGCUGAAAGGGCGCCAGCUUGGGUAGGGUAGCUCACGCUCCAUGCCGCUGUUGCCCCUAGGAACCGUGCU